ACUUUAUGAAGAGUAGUACUGCAGCAAAUACUCUAAAAAAUGCGGCCCUUGUAUCACAUGAGGCGAAGGUCUUUAAUUAGUUCAGACGGAAGAUUUAAAAAUAUUGUAUGCGUUGGUGCUAGAAAAAUAACUCCACGUGGUAAACAACUUGAUUCACAUGACUAGUUGAUGUGGACGAAUCAAAUGAUGACACAUGGUGCACCAGGAGUUAAGAGAGAAACAGUUAAAUAUAAGGGAGAUAUAGGCGAAACAGUUAAGAAUGUAUAUAAAAAAUUUCAU
rnacentral:lncRNA from 1 species